GGGGAUAAGAAAAUCUUAAUUAAACAGAACUUGCAAUAAAGAAAGCCUAAAUAGGGCUCUCUUUACAGGAAGUGUUUAUGGAAGGCUGUGCAAGUCACAUGCAGGGAGGUGUGACUAGGGUUCAUAAACAAAGGGAUUUAACUCCUAAAUGGCAGAGGAUUGAGCGGUGAGGCUGCAGGGGCAUGUUCUAUACACCAAAACUGCUUCAUUAAGCUAAAGUUGUUCAGGUGACUAUAGUGUCCC